rnacentral:misc_RNA from 1 species
GAAAGAACGUAGCAAAAUGCGAUAAGUAAUGUGAAUUGCAGAAUUCAGUGAAUCAUCGAAUCUUUGAACGCACAUUGCGCCCGCCAGUAUUCUGGCGGGCAUGCCUGUUCGAGCGUCAUUUCAACCCUCAAGCUCAGCUUGGUGUUGGGACUCGCGGUAACCCGCGUUCCCCAAAUCGAUUGGCGGUCACGUCGAGCUUCCAUAGCGUAGUAAUCAUACACCUCGUUACUGGUAAUCGUCGCGGCCACGCCGUAAAACCCCAACUUCUGAAUGUUGACCUCGGAUCAGGUAGGAAUACCCGCUGAACUUAAGCAUAUCAAUAAGCGGGGA